rnacentral:misc_RNA from 1 species
AGUCCUUGAGUGAGUGAACAGCAACGACACAGGUCUGUUGUUGGUAAAAGGAAAAAGCAUACUCGUUGGCUUAGAUGUUUACCAUGGAUCCUCCAGACGUUACCAUUGUGUUUUGCAAUGACGUUGAAGAGUGGGGCGAUUAUUUGUCGGACUGUUUGCAUCAUGUUUUAGAUCCGUUCCUGAAAGUGUAUCAAAUGCGUAUUGAAUGCUUGUUUUUCCCUCUUUCUGAAUCUUGUGUGCUGAAUUUGAGUAAAGCCCAGGUAGUGCUAAUCAUAAUGUCUCAAACCUUCUUGGAUUUUCUGGAGGAUAUGCCCAAAGCUUCUCAGUUGACAUCCCUCCUGAAACCUUCUCAGACUGUCGCUGUGUUGUGUGGACUUAAAGAUCAUGACAUAAAUUUCCACCAUAAGAAGUCACUAGUGACCUUUGAUUUGUGGACUCGACUAAAAGUACCAAAACCAGAGGAGAUAUAUGUACGUAAUAUUAUUAAAACUGUCAGCCUAAUCUUGAAACAAGGAACAGAUCAGAGUGAACGGAUGCAAGAGCUCCGCUUUGAAUUGUGGCCUAAUGUAAUUCACGAGAAGUCCAGAGAAGUUUCCGUAGUCUUAAACUCACCUGUACAGGAAGACCAUUACAUCAGAGUUAUUCUGAAAAAUAACGACAAACAACAAGAAGUAAAAGCAAACCGCCGAAAUCCAUUCACGUUUCACUUUCAUGUUCCAGCUAUGUUCGUUUCUACGUCGUCAAUGAUAUCGGUUCGUAUUUGGUGUAAUGACAGUUAUUUCGGGGAGGAAACCUUGCACUACCAUUCUCCCAUGACUCAGUUACAUGAAUUAUUACACGAUGUCGUUUCGCCUUAUGAGCUCUUACGCCAGAGUCUCAACACGACAACGAACUUAGAGGUUGACCAACAGUUAACUCAGAUUUUCAAGAACAACCUUCCCUCAAGUGGUUUUUCUCUGCUGACUCCUACUUCCGGACCCUUCCUCAGAAGUGAAGAUGAACUCCCAACUUUGCUCCAUUUCUCUGCUCGCUAUGGGAUGGAAGAAUUAACUUCGGCUCUCCUAAAUUCUCCUGGAUCUGCAAGAGCUUGUUGCCUUGCGAAUCGUCACGGACAUCUUCCAGUUCACAUAGCACAACGAGAAGAACACAACAAGAUUGCAGAAAUGUUGGAUUCAUUUCAAAAAAGAGUGGAACGUGAAACAUACCAAGUUGCCAAUUUUGUUCCAAAGAUGACAAGACACGAAGAAAGUGAUAUUAGUAGUUCCUUGCAGAACUGUCCAACUUAUCAAAAUAUACCCGAGUUCUUAUCACUUCCUGAUAUUUCGCACGAUAGUUAUACGAAAAUGAAUAAGUGUAAAGAUUACAUGCUGAUGUCAAGACUCCCUGUUCUACAUGCACCAGAUUCUGUAUCGAAUCGCCCAACUUACCAAGAUCAGUUAGAGUACAUAUCAGUUCCUCUGACUUCGCAGAAUAGUUUCAUAGAACUGAACGAAUGUGGAGACUACAUAUCAAUGUCUACAUGUCGUGUUUUGCAGGAAUCUGUAGAUCUUCAACCACAUCAGAAAUUACUUUUCAAGAACCUUGGCAAUGAAAAUAAGGAAGAAGAAAAAACAAUAACACGUGAGAACAGUGUUUUUUACAGUCAGUGCUCAACUGAUGACGUUUCACGAACAAUUUUAGAAGAGAAAGUAGAAGAACAACAGGUGGAUUCUCCUCUGUAUAGUGAAUGUUGUAUUAACACAUCUCAACAAGAAUUGAUAUCCAUUACGGAGGUGUAUGAAAACGGUACCACCAUGACUGAAGCUGAAAUGAAAAUAAAGGAGUGGAAGAAACGAAAUCAUAUGCCUUCAAUCAAGAUAAAUAAGUCACGAUGCCGACAAGAAGAUAGAAAGGUGAAAAAUGCCAGGAAACAACAUUCGAACGCGUGGUUUGACAUCUUCAACAUUUUUACUGGGAAACUCAGGCAAAAAGGCACUCCAAUUCGUAAGAUAUCGAAGGGCAAUGACAAGUCGACACCUCAAGUCAGUACAAAUGUAAAACAAGAGGACUUCGCCAAUACUACCAAUGAAUAUUCCAGCGCAUCAGAGACAACCAGCGCAGAGAUAACGUCAAGAAGUAACGCACCUUUCAGCUCAGAAUCGGAAGUUUGCAGAGUCAGCAGUAUAUCCUACUCUAGCAGUCCUAAUUCAGAAGCAAGUGACUUGGGUAAUACGGUUUGGUCUGAGAACAGCAGUGAUAGUUGUUGCUAUCCUGACACAAAUGAAGGUAACAAGAUUCACAUCUAAGUGACGGAUGUAGCUCAGUCGUUAUCAAGAACUAUCGCAAUAGUGUGUUCUACUGUGAAUUAGAAGGUGAAAGAAACAAGCUAAAGGUUGUCAAUUCAGGACCUACCAAGGACAGC